CAUAGCGACUAUCGUGGCAUAUCAAUAAGCGGAGGAAAAGAAACUAACAAGGAUUCCCCUAGUAACGGCGAGUGAAGCGGGAAGAGCUCAAAUUUGAAAUCUUAAAGGGUUUCCCUUUACGAAUUGUAGUUUAAAGAAGUGUUUUCUGUUGGAGUUUCGGUAAAAGUUCUUUGGAAUAGGACAUCAUAGAGGGUGAGAAUCCCGUAUUCGACCGUUACUUUCCAGCUGUGUGAUACACUUUCAAAGAGUCGGAUUGUUUGGGAAUGCAGUCCAAAAUGGGUGGUAAAUUUCAUCUAAAGCUAAAUAUUGGCGAGAGACCGAUAGCGAACAAGUAGCCGUGAGGGAAAGAUGAAAAGAACUUUGAAAAGAGAGUUAAACAGUACGUGAAAUUGUCAAAAGGGAAGCGUUUGACACCAGUGUUGUUUAGUUGAAAAUCAAUUCAAUAGUUUUUGAUUCUAAGUAGUAUUGACUUCAUCAGCUUGCUGCUUUCUUCUCAGAAAUUAUUGAAUGCACUUUUCAGUUAACAAGUCGACAUCAAUUUCUUUUGUUGUAAAAGGGUAAGAGGAAGGUGGCUUGCGCUUCGGCUCAAGUGUUUAUAGCCUUUUAUCUCUGCAAUCGGAGAGAUUGAGGUCUGCAGCGUAGAUCCUUCGGGGUUAGAUACAUUGGUGCUAAGCUAUAGCCUUGUAUAGACAACUUGUUGACUAUGCUCAGUCAUGUAGCUUACUCGCUGAUGCUAUUUUACCUACGCUUAGGAUGUUGAAGAUAUGCGCGACACG
rnacentral:rRNA from 1 species